GUCUCUCUCCCUUCUCUCUCUCUCCUUCUUCUUCUUACUUCUUCAACCACGUCAUUACGUCCUUUAUCUUCUAUUGACGUAAGCACGCCCCACACACACAUACACACACACUCUCUAUCUUAAAGGGACUUUCACUGAGUCCAUAACAUUGGGUAUAUUUAAGGCAGAGAUUGAUAGGUUCUUGAUUGGUAAUGGGGUUAAGAGUUAUGAAAAUAAGGUGGGAGAAUGGGGUUGAGAACAUCAGCCAUGACUGAAUGGUGGAGCAGACUUGAUGGGCUGAAUGGCCUAAUUCUUCUCCUAUAUUUUAUGGUCUCAUAGGCCCAAUCUUCCCUUCUGUGCCAGUUCCUCAAUUCUCUGAUCUUUCAAAUGUUUAUCUAUCUUUAAAUACCCCCCCCACAAUCCUCUGAGGUAGAGAAUUCCAGAGGUUCUCCACCCUCUGUGAGAAGAUGUUCCGAUGUACCUCAGUUUUAAAUGAUCGCCCCUAACCUUGUAACUAUCCCCUUGAUUUUCCUGGGAAUCCCCUAGAUUUCUCUUGGGAUCGCCCAGCUUCCUCAGCCCCUCAACCAUUCCAUUCCAUGUAGCCCCCUUUGAAUCAGGAGAAACAAGAGACUGCAAACAAACAAACAAACAAGUCGCCCUAUUAUAGGAAGGAUGUGGAGGCUUUGGAGAGGGUGCAGAAGAGGUUUACUAGGAUGCUGCCUGGAUUAGAGGGCAUGUGCUAUAAGGAGAGGUUGGACAAACAAGGGUUGUUUUCUCUGGAGCAGCGGAGGCUGGGGGGAGACCUGAUAGAGGUUUAUAAGAUUAUGAGAGGCAUAGAUAGCCACUCAGUACCUUUUUUCCCCAGGGGUGAAAUGUUUAAUACUAGAGGGCAUGUAUUUAAGAUGAGAAAGGGUAAAUUCAAAGUGGAUGUGCAGGGCAAGUUUUUUUUUUACACAGAGAGUGGUGGGUGCCUUGAAUGUGCUGCCAGGGAUGGUGGUGGAGGCAAAUAUGAUAGAGGUUUCUAAGAGGCUCUUAGAUAGGCACAUGAAUGUGCAGAGAAUGGAGGGCUUUGGACAUUGUGUAGGCAGAAGUUAGACACGCAAUUACUAGAUUAAUUAGUUCAGCAAAACAUUGUGGGUGGAAGGGCCUGUUCCUGUGUUGUAUUGUUCUAUGUUCUAAUCUGCUGGAGGAACUCAGCAGGUCAAGUAGCAUGGGGCAGGGUAAGAAUUGCUGUUCGACCCACUGAGUUCCUUCAGCAGAUUGUUUGUUGCUUCAGAAUUUUCAGUCUCUUGUGUCUCCAGAGACUGCAGAUACUGAAAUCUGAAGCAAAAUCUGGAGCAUCUGUUUAUUUGCCCUUUAGAAGCAUCUGUUUCAUCACCUCACACAAAUCCAGCCAAAAUCAUUAUUUAAAAUAAAUACAACUACAGCUCUUUAGACUUGGAAAGAAACGCAAGCAAUCCCAGUCCUGAUGGUGUGGACCUGAAACGUCGACUGCCCAUUUCCCUCCUCUUAGCAGUGUGGAGGAACAGAGGGAUCUUGGGGUCCACGUCCAUAGAUCCCUCAAGGUUGCCACGCAGGUCGAUAGGGUUGUUAAGAAGGUGUAUGGUGUGUUGGCCUUCAUGAGUCGGGGUAUUUAGUUCAAGAGCCACGAGGUGAUGUUGUAGCUCUAUAGAACCCUGGUCAGACCACACUUGGAGUAUUGUGUUUCAUUCUGUUCACCUCAUUAUAGGAAGGAUGUGGAAACUUUAGAGAGGGUGCAGAGGAGAUUUACCAGGAUGUUGCCUGGAUUGGAGAGCAUGUCUUAUGAGGAUAGGUUGAGUGAGCUCGGGCUUUUCUCUUUGGAGAGAAGGAGGAUGAGAGGUGACUUGAUAGAGGUGCACAAGAUGAUAAGAGGCAUAGAUCGAGUGGACAGUCAAGAGACUUUUUCCCAGGGUGACAAUGGCUAACAUGAGGGGACAUAAUUUUAAGGUGAUUGGAGGAAGGUAUAAGGGGGAUGACAGAGGUAAGUUUUUUUACACAGAGAGUGGUGGGUGCGUGGAACACACUGCCAGCAGAUGUUGUGGGGGGCAGAUACAUUAGGGACUUUUAAGAAACUCUUAGAUAGACACAUGAAUGAUAGAGAAAUGGGGGCUAUGUGGGAGGGAAGGGUUAUAUAGAUCUUAGAGCAGGAUAAAAUGUCGGCACAACAUUGUUGGCCUAAGGGCCUGUACUGUAGUGUUCUACUUCUAUGUUCUAGAUGCUGCCUGACCUGCUGAGUUCCUCCAGCAUUUUGUGCGUUGCAGUUUUAAGCAAGCAACUUAUUCAGUAACACAAAAUGCUGGAGGAACUCAGCAGGUCAGGCAGCAUCUAUGGAAGGAAUAAAGAGUCACCGUUUUAAAUUGCAUUUAAAAAAAGGCGAGCUCUCAGUUACGAGCGGGAGAACUACAGCCCACGGUAUAACUGAGGUCUCUUACAACGCAGGAGCAACGUAAAAUCCCACCCACGUAAAGCCAGCGCCUGAUUGGGCAGCCGAGGGAAAUUCCUCCCCCAUUCACAGUGCUGGCGCUGGGCAGUCACAUAUUUCACUGGAGACUUGUCCACAUGGAUUUCAGACUGUGCUGGGCUUGCAUCAAGACUGCGGAAGAGUCUGCAGUUCCCACAUUGGACUCAUGAGCCCCCUCUGAUCCUGCAGAACUGGAGUGGAAAUGGUCAAUUUGAAUAUUUAUGAUCAGCUUUCUGCUUGAA